rnacentral:lncRNA from 1 species
UUUUCUUUUAAUUAAAGAAAAGUCAUGACUGUUAUUAUUUUCAAAAUAGUUUUUUUUUUUUUUUUUUUUUAAAUUAAACAGUUUUCAUUGUUCCAUUUUAUUAAAUUUUGAAUUUAAGAUCAAAAACUCAGACUAACGAUAGACAUUAAUAUAUUCCUCAAAAAAGGCUGUCUACCUGUUAGUAAAAAUAUUGGGUGGGUCUGCAAUAUUAAAAUACAACUUGGAUUGAUUCCAGGUUUGAAAAAUUAUAGGAAUGAAUCCCACCACUUUUCAGUUUACUAUUAAUACACCCUUAAUCUAGAAUUUCUCAUCAUAGUGGUAUAGCAAAUUCUAUUUAUUAGAUGUAUUAUCAAAACUUCCUAAUACAUUAAAGUUUGUAUAAAAUUAGAAAUUUAAUCGUUUUAUAUUAAUUACAAAAAAUAGCCCUGCCAAAACAACUAAUACCCACAUCAGGUUUCGGAUAUCAGUAUUCUAACCAAAUGUAUUCCAUGUGUAAUUUAUAUAAUUCAAGUGAAGCAAGGAAAGUAAAGCAGUUACUAAAAAGAAAUUUUUUUCCCUAAUAUGUGGGUUGCAGCUGUGAAAUUGAAGAGGAAAUUAACUGUUUUCCUUUAUUUGAUUCCCAUUAAUUAAGAAAAUAAUAAAUAACAGUAAUAAUUCUGUUCUUAAUUGAUAAACAGCCAAUUUCUUGAAAAUUAGAAAGGAUUAAAUUCAUACAUAUAUACUUAAAAAGUCAACCAUACAAGGACUGAAUUCUUUUUAUGUUAAAUUCUGUUUAAUAACAACGACCUCGAAGUAAUAAUUUACUUCAGAUUCGCGUAAGAGGUUAUAUACUUGUUUAAUCGACUAAAGAAUUUUUGUUUGAAGGUUGUGACUAUACCGUUUUCUUUUGUGCGCGUUUACAUUCCUAGAAAGAAAAUAUCCGGUAUUAUCUCUCGACUUUUUUUAGCGAUUCAUCAUCAAUCGCGGUCUUGUGUCGUUAUCAUCUCCUUUAUUAGUCAUCGGUAUCUUGAAAGCAUUUUUAUAAAACUGGAAUAGUUUGGAUUAUGUCAUUGGAAACUGGAGACACUUGACACAUUUUAAUUUCACUGGUUUAAUUUAAUAUCCCUACUUGAAUACUCUAUCAUUUGUAAAGUGAUAAAUUUCUUGAAUUUUGACGGAACUCGAAAAACUCUGCGAUUUAAUAAUAAGUUAUUUAAGGAAGAGAAAAACAAAAUUAUACAUUCUGUGAUCUGUUAACUGGAAAGCGAUGACGCAUAAUACUACAAAGUUCGCAUUUCUUUCAGCGCGAAAUCCGUCCGAUGAUUAUUUACAUAACCCAUUUAAAAUGCGACACAUGGCACAUCGCGGAUUAAAUCUCUAAGCCGCGCUAUGCGACAUUUCGCGAAUUUCGUCGCUUGAAUAUCGAGUCUAGAAGUGAAAACAGAAGGUCGUCUUUUUAUUUUUUCUGCUUGUGGAAAAAUCGUGCCCGUUUCCCACCUGUUGUUGUACAGUAACUACCAAAGGCCGCUAAAUACGUCUAACCUUGUUUAGAAUCUGGCGGUUUGCACCUACCGCUGACUCACCACUUGUAAGGAGAGUCAAGUAAUGACCUCGAUUUGGUCGGGACGAAUUGGAAAUUGUGCAAAAAUGCCUACGCCCUACAGUUUAUUAAAUCGCACCAUUUUUUUUAUUUAUUUAUCAGUUUUAACGAGGUUAUCUAUACAAAACAGGAGCAUCGCUGUUGGAUCGACUUCCGCCAGCGUUAUUUCCGGUUCCGUUUUCGCAAUCACGCUCGUUUCGAUCUCAUUUCGUGUAAGCGCUUUUAAAAAUUUUAUUUGAUUUCUCGAACAAACAUGACCGUAGAUAAAUAUUCACGCUAAUUUUGCGGUAAACAUAGGAAAUAUCGUCACUUUUUUCUGGCUUGCCGAUCAGUCAGGAAAUACCGGUUAGGACGAACAACAAUGAAAAUUUCUGCCAAUAGCACCAAAGGUCAUGGAACUGGUUUUAAACUGCCAUUUAAGUGGAAAUGACCAUUUGAAGUUGUUUUGUCGGCUCAAAAAAUAGUCUGGGAUAGAUUGAGAAAACGAUCUGAUAUGUGGAAACCAUGUUAAGAAUUCUGUACAGGAAGAAAGUUGUUAGGAAUUCUUGAAAACCAGUAUUAUGUGCUAUAUUUCGAUACAAUAUGCUAUUGUUUAAAGAAGGAGGAAGUUCAAAUUUAAUAUCAUGGGAUGAGAGAAACAUGUCUAAAUUAAAGUGCACAUUUUUUAAUAAUAUGGAGCAACAAUUUUUAUUUGGCCUAUGAUUCCUAAAAUUCUCGGGUUACAAUAUAUAAAAAAAAAGUUACAAUGUAAUAAACACACA